rnacentral:rRNA from 1 species
UGAGGGCGAAUCGAAGCGGCUGGUUACCAGGCAAAUCCGGUAACCAAAAGGCUAGAGCGUGACAGGUAAGCGAAAUCUUAGGAAAGUAGCGAAGCACAUGAUGACGGCUUCCAGGAAAAGCUUCUGGCAAUGCAUAUGCGGCCCGUACCAAAACCGACACAGGUGGGCAGGGAGAGAAUCCCGAGGUGAGCGAGAGAACUGUUGCCAAGGAACUCGGCAAAAUGACUCCGUAAGUUAGCGAGAAGGAGUGCUUAAGCAAUUAAGCCGCAGUGAAGAGGCCCAAGCGACUGUUUAACUAAAACACAGCUCUCUGCGAAGUCGCAAGACGAAGUAUAGGGGGUGACACCUGCCCGGUGCUGGAAGGUUAAGAGGAUCUGUUAAGAGCGAUCUGAAGCAGUGAUCCGAAGCCCCAGUGAACGGCGGCCGUAACUAUAACGGUCCUAAGGUAGCGAAAUUCCUUGUCAGGUAAGUUCUGACCCGCACGAAAGGUGUAACGAUUUGGGCGCUGUCUCGGCAGCAGACUCGGUGAAAUCUUAGUACCUGUGAAAAUGCAGGUUACCCGCAACUAGACGGAAAGACCCCAUGGAGCUUUACUGCAGCCUGAUAUUGAAUUCUGGUCAUACAUGUACAGGAUAGGUGGGAGACAAAGAGACGUGCACGCCAGUGUACGAGGAGUCGACGUUGGGAUACCACUCUUGUGUGACCGGGGUUCUAACCUGGUAUCGAGAACAGGUACGGGGAGAGUGUCAGGUGGGCAGUUUGACUGGGGCGGUCGCCUCCCAAAGAGUAACGGAGGCGCCCAAAGGUACGCUCAGAUUGGAUGGAAACCAAUCGUCGAGUGCAAUUGCAGAAGCGUGCUUGACUGUGAGACAGACAAGUCGAACAGGGACGAAAGUCGGGAAUAGUGAUCCGGCGGUGCCGAAUGGAAGGGCCGUCGCUCAACGGAUAAAAGCUACCCUGGGGAUAACAGGCUGAUCUCGCCCAAGAGUUCACAUCGACGGCGAGGUUUGGCACCUCGAUGUCGGCUCAUCGCAUCCUGGAGCUGGAUUCGGUUCCAAGGGUUGGGCUGUCCGCCCAUUAAAGCGGUACGCGAGCUGGGUUCAGAACGUCGUGAGACAGUUCGGUCCCUAUCUGUUGUGGGCG